rnacentral:ncRNA from 1 species
AGUCUUCAGGGCAGGGUGAAAUUCCCGACCGGCGGUAAAUUUGACUAUCUAUUUUAGCCAAAUAAGUCCGCGAGCGCAAGCUGAUGUGGUGAGAUUCCACAACCGACAGUAUAGUCUGGAUGGGAGAAGACG